rnacentral:misc_RNA from 1 species
UUUCCGUAGGUGAACCUGCGGAAGGAUCAUUAUAAAUGAAAAACGAAUAACUUCAGGGAAGAAGGGAACCUGCACGGUGACCUCCCCUGUCGGGCCACCCAAUACCUUCAAAAUGCCGCCGUCCUAGCGGUGGCAGACGAAAAAAAAACAAGAAAAACAAAAUAGAAACAGGCACGGUGGCCCGUUCACCUUCACACAACCCUCCGAGUACCGCUUCCAUGUUGCUUCCCCGCAAAUCCACCUCUUUGGUGAGCGCGGGGGAGGUCCGCAUCAAAUUCACCUGAAUGUCACAGCAGUCAGACAGCCCUUCAUGGAAACAAUAAAACUUUCAACAACGGAUCUCUUGGUUCCC